rnacentral:rRNA from 1 species
CGGUAAUUCCUUCUCCAAUAGCGUAUAUUAAAUUUGCUGCAGUUAAAGCGUUCGUAGUUUGUGUUUCACAAUCCGAUAGGCUUGUAUUCAAUGUUUCAUUGAAUGCGCCGAUAAUUGGAUUGCAAUGCAGUGUCACUGCAUUGAAUUACUUUGAGUAAAUGGACUUGCUCCAAGCAGGCUUUUGCUUGUACCGCUCAGCAUGGAAUAAUGGGAUACAGCUCUUGAUUGAUUUGUUGGUGAAUCGAUUAAGAUGCGAUAGACGACAAGGACAUCCGGGGGCAUUUGUACUCGCUGGAGAGAGGUGAAAUUCUAAGACCCGGCGAAGACAAACUGAAGCGAAAGCAUUUGCCCAGAGUGUACCUGUUAAUCAAGGACGAAAGUUGGGGGGUCGAAGACGAUUAGAUACCGUCGUAGUCUCAACCGUAAACGAUGCCGACAGAAAUUCGGCAGAGAGUAAACGAUUCUCUUUCGGAGUUCCUAGAGAAAUCAAAGUCUUCGGGCCCUGGGGGGAGUAUGGUCGCAAGGCUGAAACUUAAAGGAAUUGACGGAAGGGCACCACCAGGAGUGGAGCCUGCGGCUUAAUUCGACUCAACGCGGGAAAUCUCACCAGGCCCGGACAUAAUUAUGAUUGACUGAUGAAAAGAUCCUUCUUGAUUCUAUGGGUGGUGGUGCAUGGCCGUUCUUAGUCGGUGAGGUGACUUGUCUGGUUAAUUCCGAUAACGGACGAGAUCUCGACUUAUUAAAUAAAUUGUGUAAUUGAUAUUGCACAGUUUUCUUAAGAGGACAUUGGAUAUCCAUUCCAAGGAAGUUCGAGCCUAUAACAGGUCUGUGAUGCCCUUAGAUGGCCUGGGCUGCACGUGCGCUACAUUGACAAGAGCAGAAAGUCUACCUUGGUCGAUAGUCCUGGGUAAUCUUAUCAAUCUUGUCGUACUUGGAAUCGGUGUUUGCAAUUAUUCACCGUGAACGAGGAAUUCCUAGUAAGUGCAAUUCACUAUAUUGUGCUGACUGCGUCCCUGCCCCUUGUACACACCGCCC